UGUACCUGCACAUACAGAUGUGUAUAUAUAUCCUUUUUUUUAGAAUUCCAACUCUGUGCUUUGCAUCCUAAUGCUGCUUUCCUUGCCCAGCCUCCUACAGCCUCUUCUCUCUCAUCUGGAGCCACUUUCUGUGCUGUGGGAAGGGUUGCUUGUUUAGGGAGGACCAUGCAAAUAAUCUCCUGAGUUUCUCCCUUUAUGGAUGGGUGAGGAAAAUUUGGCAAAGUGGCUGCAAGUGAAUCUUGUGAGCAUUCUGGAGGGAUGAGCUGAGAGCCCUGAGCCAGUCUCACUGUGCAAAAUCCAUUAGCCAUGAGCAGAGCUGCUUCUUGACUCGGCAUUCAGUACCUGUUACGGCCUGAAUUAGUCCCUAAUUUCUGUCCCUUACAGUUAAAAUUACUCAGACAUUUCUUUUUGAGACGGGAUAUUGCUUCUGACUAAAUACCCUAAAGCCAUGGCUCUACUGACUAUUAAAUUGUUCUCAGGAAUGCACUGAUCCUCUUGUCUCCGGGUCAGUGUAGGCUGGUGCUGUCAGAUGCAGGCUGCUGUGGGGCUGGAAGAGGUACUUUGCUUUGCUGUAGGCAAGCAAAUGCUGAGACACAUGUGAGGACUCGAUGGCUGCAGGUUUAAUAAGAUCAAUACUACCUCUGCAAAAGAUUAUAUGGUAUACUAGGCAGCAAAUAGAGCACUUCUGCUGGAUUUGGAAACCGUUUAUUGAGUCUAUUAGGGAUAGUGAGCUAGAAGGGUUGUAUCUGGAGUGAAUUGCACAGUUGCAGUAGUUGAGACUCCCACAUUAAGGGUUUUGCAGUCUAUUAAAUAAUGGAAUUAAAAUCAAAAUAAAUGAGGGAGUUUUAUCCAAGAAGUCCUACCUGCAGCCACAUCAUCAGCCAAAGAACAGAGGAGAAACAUGCUGCCCAGAAGACGAGUGCUUGCUCCUGUAUUCAUUGGCCUGCAUCGCCUCCCUGAAGCCUUGAAAGAUGUCAGGAAGAGGGGAGGGAUGUCUGUCAGGCUUCUGUUGGGACAAAGAGCCAGUCAAGGUGGAAGCUUGGAGAUCCUCCUCUUCCCACCCAGCAGGCAGGUCAGAAGUUGUCACGUGCUGUGGAACAUCCCACACUGUGUGCUCUACAGCCAAGGUUCGUCCUGCUGCCUAACGCAGCCCACAGUGGGCUGGCUUGAGUUAAGGAGCAGCUUUUGGGAAUUCUGUUGGUCUUGUUUGAGCUGCCUUUGUGCUGCCAUCACCUCCUGCAGUGUGCCCUGGAAUAAUUAGCUCUAAUCACACAUGAGCAAUAGCCUGCCUGGUCACCCUCUCUGCUCCUGGGGAGCACGGCAGGGCACCCGACUCUGUCAUUUCUCUGGUGCUCUGUCCAGUCUCAUUUGAAAUACCUUGCAGGAUGAAUUAUGGUGCUCUAAGGGAAUCUGCAAAAUAGGAUCACAGGCCAAUUGAAUCCAUCUGCAAAAUGCGGGAGGAUGAUGUAUCACCCUGUGGAUGGAUUCUGCUCACCCCCUAAUUUUUUUCUUUUUUAAAAAGAAUUAUUUUAAAGCUCUUGGUGAGAGUAAGAACAACAAAUGCUUGAGCAAUGAGGAGCUGGAUCAGGCCAUGCUGACUAAAGGUGGGUGAUGCAGAAGGGAAGUAGGGGAGUAAGGAGAGAUUCACACCAACUCACCACACUGGCCAGUCUGGUCCCUCUGCAAGCAGACUAAUGUAUGGGAGUGUUUCAUAGCAUAAAAUGUGCUGGGACAGACUGGAAUUACCAUCCAUGGGGAGGUUUUAGGGACAAAUAUCAACCUACCCAAGUCAAUCAAAGCAGCUUCUAGUAGGAGCUGUGCAGGUGCUGUGACCCACGUGGAUGUUGCAGGUAUCUCAGAGCACAAGGGCAGCUGGAUGCAGCCCUCAGGAUCUGAUUUAGCAAUUCCUGGCUGGCUGGCCUGGCCAUGCUCCCCUGGGAAUGUGGCCAAGGUCACCCGUCUUGGCCCUGAUGUGGUUGGACUGCCAAGGAAGAAGUUAACCCCCUUGCACUUUGGGUGGAUUGAGGUUGGGCUGGUGUUACUGAGCUUCCUCCUCCUCCGGCUGGGAUGCUCCAGCCAUGGCCUGAGGGGGAAGGGAAAUGAAUUAAACCCAUCUUCAGACACGUUUGUAUUGAUUCUGUCACUUUCUUGCUGCUUGCUGACAGGUGAUGGAUGGCUCAUAAUGCGACUGGCACAGUACAUUACGUUUCCCAUCCAGGGACUCCUAAAUCAUUUCAAAUUUUCAAAUUCCCUAAUCAAUAUUUUAUCAGUAGCAGAAGAAAGCGGAACAGACCCAUUUCUCAAGAGGUAGAAGAAUGAGCGUGUGUGGAUGCGUGCCUGCACAUACAUAGGCAUGGGAGUUUGGGUAUUUAUAAUCACAACUAAGGCACCGUUAGUAUAACAAUUAUAUCUGCAACCAGAAAAACAAAUACAGAAGUAGGAGCAGGAGUGAUGCUUACAUUUAAGUGACUUCAGGAUGAAGUAAAUUAGAGAUUUGGAUUUCUGAUAUGAACAUGGAGGAUUAAUGCCAUGUGGGUUUGCACUCAUUGCUCAGCCAGUUGUUCCAGCCUUAUGCAGGGUGCAGAGGGGUUGAGGCAGGUGCAAACAUGCCUCGUUUUUUGGGGAAGGAAAUUGGAUUUUCAACCACCUGUAAUACAGCAGGACUCGGCUCUCUCACAUGGCACUGAAGCAAUAAUGGGGAAAUAUCCCUAGCAAGCCUGUCUGGAGCUGGAUUACUGGGUGGUUGUUUGUCUGGCACUUUAACCAAGCAUGGUGCUGCUUUCUUGGGAUUGGGGUGGGCAGAGAAGCAUCCUGUUGCUGCCAUGGUGUGUUGGCUCCUGGGGCACUGGAAAACUAGAUGGGAAUGUGCCUGCAGUGAGACUUGAACUGGUCCUGAGCAAACAGCAUGUGCCUUUCUACUCCAAUGCUGGCACUAGGAUGUGAUUCAGGUGGGGCUGAGUGAGGACAGACAAGGAAGGACUCUGGGGCAUUUCAGAGGAGGUGCAGGUGGACUCUGUGAUGUUAGGAUACUGUGUGGAGUGGUUGGCCCCAAACUGAGACCCAGAUUCAGUGACUUUCCGUGUCUUCCACACUGGGCUUCCUUCACCAGUAGCUCCCAGUUCCUGCCUGGCAUCUGGCUUUGUGCUGGAAGAGCCCAGGGAGGAAUGGAGCUGGUUCCCCCUGUUGAAGGAGGGUGGUCUGUGCAAAGUGGAGGCAGCACAGGGCUUUGUUCUUUCCCCUCCAAAAGAUGAUCCUGGUGAGACAGCUGGAGCAUGCCUGUCUGCCCCAAAGAUGGCUGCUUUCCCCAAAUCCUUCCUGAGCUGGUGGUCCUUCCUUUGUGCUCCUUGCAUGCCCUGACCUCACCUGCUCAGCUAUCCUUCUCCAUCCAAUUACUCAUUCUCUUAGACUCAUGUUUUUUAUUCCCAGUCUGGAUGUCUUCCAAGUAAAAGAUUUAUUCUUAAGCUAUUUUUUCCCUCUCUGUGAAGAGAGCUUCCAAACAGCACAGAUGUGAAGCUAAACAUAACCUUCCUUGUUACUGUCACCUCUCCUCAGCGUUUGCCUGGCUGAUCUGGUGUUGCCUUUGCUUCCAAGCGUUGAUUCACAGCUCAGUUGUAGCUUGCUGCUGGAAUAUACAAGGUGGGCUUGCAGGAGAGGCACAAGGUGGAGCUCAAGGGUGGCACUUAAACCCAUGCUGACCCCCUGGCCCUUUCCCAGACCCUUAGCUCUUUGGGCUGGUGCAGUGGCAUGGGCUGAAUACCAGGAGAGUCAGACUCUCCUUCUAGAGGUAGUUUAAAAAACUGCUUUUUACUCACAGAAGAAACUUCUGUGCCUUUCCAUCCUGACCUCUCUGCAGUUUAGGGGAGACACACAAUGCUCUUUCCCCAAGGCAAGCGUGGCCUCACCACCAGCAGGGAGAUCUUAUGCUACAACACUUCUGUGCCAACAUUUUUUCUCUAUGUUCAAAGUUUUCUGUGGGCUGCGUUUCAGAGACUUGAUCCCUGCUGUGCCCAUGUGGAGGUGAAGUUUGCAGCUGUACCCUUUUCUCUGUGUUAUCACAUGCUCAGGGUUUGCCAGGGAUGGGGGAGGCUUCUGGUUUGUGCUGUCCACACUGCUUCCUCCCCUGGAGGCACUGUGUGUAACAGGAACCUGGUUGAACACUGCAAAAAAGAUGUGUGGAAAUAACUGAUUUUCUUCUUCUGAGAGCCUCUGCCUGGUCUACAGGAGCAGGAAUCCUUUUGAAGAGCUCCUGCAUACUUCAUGUCUACCUGGGGCAGGUUGCAAGGCUGUUUUCCUUUCUCCUUGGUUAAAGAUAAGAUUUAAUUGAACCAGGAAGAAGUCGGUGUUUGCAGUGUCAUUUACUGAUCCGAUGCUGUUUGGAGUUGGGUCUGAAAGUGUCUGGAAGCAGAAUUCCUUCAACCAUGCUGCUCUGGGCAGUGUGUCCUCCAUUCCUGGAGCACAACAGGAGAGAGGAAAGAAGCUACUGAGGUGCCUCCCAGAGAGACAAAGUGUUUGUCAUGUAGCUGUCACCAACCACUCUUCAAAGCAAACCUGGUCACCCUGACCGCCUGCUGCUUUCCCUCUUUUAAGCACAAUAGCAGGAAUUGCCUUUUCCCUCCUGCUUUGGUGUUAACCUCCUCUUGUUCUGGUGCUUUUUGAGGACACGUCAUGUGUUUCACUGUGAGCAGGACAAGAGUCAGACCUAGACCAUGUGUGAGUCCCUGACAAUGACUGCAUUUGAGUGAUAAACUCAGUCAUCCUGCACAAGAGGUGAAGCCCAUUGUUUGGGCACAGAUGGCCAUAAAUGCAGUUUCCCUGGAUGAGAGAUGUUCUGAAAAACUCUGUACCUGAGAGAGAAAUGGGCCCUUACCACCUGAAAAAGUUUGCUGUGUUGCAGUUCUCAUCUUUGGAGAUGCUGUGCCUGGGAAACAGCAGAGAAACUGGGAAACUCUCUGCAAGCAGUGUUAGGUUUACUUCAUACAGGAGGGGAUGGAGUGAACUGGCUCCCCAAAGACAGUGUUUGAACCCCAUUUGUCCUUAGGACUAGGAAUGCGUUCAACUCUAAAGCUCCAGGGUGCAGCUCUACCCUACAUCUUAAGAGGUCUUUUCCAACCUGAACAAUUCUGUGAUUCUGUAUCUUACAUGCUUUAAAAUAUACUUGGGUGUCCUGAAAGGAUCUCACAUUAGGAGCUGGGAUUUAUGCCCCUCAGGAUAAAGAGCCUGUGGCAAACAGACCUCAGCUUGGCUUGUCACCUCUCUCAGCUGGCAGUGCCAGGGUUUGCUGCCCCUUUUGUAGUGGGACAGGGCUGGUCAUGGUGGCCUUACAGCUGCUGUAAGGACAAGGAGUUGCUUGGGCAAGGAGGACGUGGGCUGAAGAUACUUUGAGACUUCAUGUCAGAGCUGUCACUUGCCAGCCUGACCAGAAUACCAUGCAGGAAAGUGAAAUUUGGGUAACUUAGCAAAAUAACACAAAGGCUCUGCGUGGUUUUCAAACAAGGUGCAGUGGCAUAAAGGGGAAAUACCCAGCUGGUUUUAAUAUCCAGCUUAAGGGAAGUCCUUUUGUUCAUUUAGUCUUGAUUUAAAGUGGUCUGAGGAGGUGUAAUCCUCUUGCCUCAUCUGGGUCUAAUCUAAGCUGGGUGCUGAUAAGCAAAGAGCUGUUUUUCCCUGACAGCCACUUCUGCCAAGCCAGAAAUAGCCUGCCCGAGUAAGCUCACCAUAGCAGCAUUUCUCAUUCAAAAGUUAAUAAGCUUUGAAAUUGGAUUUUAAUCAACUAAUCUUUGAUCCUAGGCACUAGAGCUCGAUUAGGAGCGUCCAGUAAACCAAGUUACAUCUCUCUUCCCUGCUUUUUCCCCCACCCAAUGUAGCAAAGAAAAGGUUGAGAAAUGUUUCAGCAUUUGAGGACCUGUGCAUUUUAGGGUUUGUGUUGUCUCUCUUCUUUUAAUCUGAUCCAUUCCAUGGAUGAAUGGAAAAACUGAUCUCUGAUAGACAGCUGCUCUUCCAAGGCUGUAAAUGUCUUUUAUCGGCUCCUUUUGGGAAAAGGGAUGGACUCCUUUUUAACAAAGGUCUGGAUUCAAUCAGAUGAGAUGGGAUGAGGGAUAGAAGAUCUGCUGGGGCCCUAACCAUAUCCCUCUUUUUUCCAGCAUCAAAAUAGUCCCAUAAAUUCUGCACCCCACAGAAACAUGAAAUAGCUGGGGUUGAAGGGACCUUUGGCAUUUUGCCAGGCUGCAGAGGAAAUAAUAGCUGGACUUCAGGGUUAUGUAGUUACAUUUCUGCUCAAGGGAUGGAUUCAGUUCAGACCUCUCCAACUCACUCCCCCUCCCCAUAAAUCUGAGCAAACACUCCUGUUUCAAUUUACCCUGCAAACAGUUUUCUCUUGCUCAGAUAGAGGCUGUUUUUAUUUUUUUAAAGCUGUAUUUAGAUUUGGAACAAGCUUCUGUUUCCUACAGAAAUACUGGCUUAGUGAGCUCCCCAAGGACCACAGAGUUCAUCCCUGUGCUUGUGGAAUGGUCAGAUCAAACGGGAGAGGAUUUGUUUGGGCAGCAGAGUGAGCACACAGAGGCACUGUUCACAUGCUGUACUCCUGUUAUCUUGAGUCAUCCCUGGCACUGCUAUGGUGUCCAGGGUUGGGUGGGCUCUCUGAGGGGCACCUCUUUCCCUAAGACCUCACAUCAGGAUGCUGGAGAGUGGCACAGAGGCCCUGGGGUGAUUUGGGUUUGAUGGGAUGGCUGGGUCAUGCUGGCUCUGAGUGGAGUCUCUGCUCUCUGGUACUUCUGCUCUCUCUUCCAGAGGAUGUUGUAUUUCCCUUGCCCUGGGCUAUGAACAUCUCCUGGACAUUUAUCUUCUUUCCUCUGAGGAAAGGCAGCCGAGGGAGUGUAAUGAUCCUUCUGAACACACUUUACAACCUAGAAUAUCUAUUCCUUAUAAAACUACUCUAAUGGCCCGCUUUUACCGUUUCCAGUGUUUUACAGGGGGUUUAAGCUCUGUGAUGGUACUUGCCAGGAAUAUGAACUGUGGUGUGGCAGCUUUUGGGGGCUGUCCAGCCUGUGCUGGGCUGACAGGUAGCUUGAAGGGAAGCUGGUCUAGUGGGCAGGAUUGGCUGAAAACUGUUCAGAAAACAGUGUGCUUAGGGUGAGUCAGCUUCCUCUGGAGGUGAUGCUUCCAGCCAGCCACGGCCACAUGAUAAAUGAAAAGUGACAUUAAUCUACUAACCCUCCGGCCAAUACAGUUAGCAGAGCUGAUUGUACCAAGGGAGGGAUGAAGUUAGCCUGGUUAGGAUUCUCUGAGGCCUCUGGAUUUCUGAGAUCUUGGAGGGUGCUCAUCCCCAAGCUGUGAGUGGAAUUCAGAAGCUCUCAGUGGGCUGAUCCUUAGGAGUCCAGAGCAGGUCUGAUGCCCCACAGAAUGGCAGGUGGUGUCCCAGAAGCUUUUUCCAGGCCACACUGAAAAUAGAGGAGGUCUUGCCUCGUGUAGCCCCAGCUGUGAAGAGAUGAUGGCCUUGUACAGGGAAAUCUGCAGAAUCUUUCAAGUUUUUCCUCAUGUUUUCCAUUCCCACUUGAUAUUCCUAGCUAGGGCUAGUUUUCUUCUUUCUGAGUUCAGAUAAAGAGCUGCCCCCCACAACAAACCUGAGUCCUUUCUUGGGUAACCACACACCAAACUGUUCUCUCUCUGGUGGCAUUUGGUGGUCAAUUAUUUUCUGAAGCUUUUUGGAGUGAAGCUGCCCAAUCCCAUAACAAAGCAGCAUUGCAGGCCUCAACUUGUCCUCCAGGCUCCAUGAAAUGUGUGAGCAAGCUGCCAGCAGCCAUGGUGGGUGUGCAGACCAGAUCCUGCUUGCUUUGGGAUGUGUGAAUGUUUUGACCUUCUUAGGGCUUCCCAUUGCAAUGUUUUAGGGCCUGAUUUCUGGCAGGGCUCUGCAUCUCCCAGCUUGUGUCCAGCUCUCUUGCCCAGCUGACCCCAAAUCUGAGCAUGAGAUCAGGUUUGGACACUUCUCCAUGUGCUGUGGUAUUUGUUUGUGUGGCUGAAGAGAACAGGUAUAGCUCAAAAUAUCUAGGAGAGAGUAACUCAUCCUAUUCCUUCUUCCUGAUCAUCUUUCCAAGGUGAUUCUUGUUGCUUCCAGCAAGCCACUGGCAGGACUAGAGUCUCUGGAGAUGUCCCUUCUGGGGAGCCACCCAAGUCAGAGCCAGCUGGUGAGCUCAACUUUCAGAUUUGAGAUUUUUUUCAAUGGUGUUUGAAUGGAAAGGCUGCAUGUCCAGUGAGUUGUGCUUAUAUUUGGUUUUUGUUGGGGUUUUUGGGAGGGAAAAAUGAAGGCUAAAUGAAUUAUGCUGUACAGGUAGAGGUGAGCAGCUGAUGGUCAUGGAAGUUCAAGGUCUUGGGGACCUGCCUUAGUUGAGAAUACAGGAGAACCAAUUUUGAGUCCAUGUUCAGCUUGAUUCAGAGCAAUGUUGAGCUCUUUCCUUCUCUUAGGCUCAUGGCCUAAGGAACUUCUCUUUUGAUCUGUGCUUAAACUCACCUAACAUGGAUCCAUCUCCUUGAAAAAGGUUGGAAAUAUUGAAAUAGCACUUGUAACUGUCUUUUUCAUAGUUGUGUUGUGUUGGGGCAGGUGUGGUUAUGACUGAGGGAGUUAGUAGGAGGAUGCUAUGGAAAUGCAACCCUGGGCAAGGAGGAGGAAGAGGAAUGGAAAUUUAUUGUAAAGCCAUUGCUCCAGUGGGAAGGGGGGUGUUCGCCUAGGAAUAUUUUCAAGGACUGCUGCUCAGGGGGCUGACAGAAGCCAGUCUGUGAUGAACCACUUGGAAGAUUUGAUGGUGCUCAGAAGUUUAGACUGGGGACCCACCAGUGACAUUAUUCUCUCCUUUUCAUGAGGGUUUGUCUGUAUCCUUAAGGAGGAGGACCAGAUUCUGGACUCGUGUAGGGACGGUAGUGCCCAGCUCUGCCCUGGAAGGCUGGGGCUGGCCUGGAUGAUCUACAGCAUUUACUUGUCUGCCCUUCUCCCUGUCCCAGCACAAAGUGACCUCCAGCUCAGCCCAGGAUCUGUGGCUCGUCCCUUGUGAAGGACACAAUGAAAUCUUGCCCAGGUGACAAUCUCCAGGGACUGCUUUGCAAAGACUUGCCAGAGAUGUGGCAACCACAGACUCACUUAAAUUCCAACAGCGAGCUAGCUGGUGCCAAAUCCCAUUUGUAUCACUGAGAAAAAUGGUAAAAUCAUUGUUAGGUGUUCACUAAAAUACUCUAAAUUUUAGAGAACACGAAGCAUGAGUCAGGCAUUGAAACCAGCAUCCAAAGGAGGGAGGGAGUGGCGAGAGGCAGCAGGAGUGCUUAUGAAAUAUUUUGUUUCAUUGGCAAGAGGACAAGAAAUAAUUGGGCCUUAAAUCAAGGAAAUGGGAGAAUAGGAACAGCAAAUCAAGGGAAAUGGUGGAAAAUUAGGUCUUAGAGUAGAGAAAUGUGUACACAUGAUCACCUGGUGGUUCUGGCAGAGAUAUAUGCCCAUAAAUCUUCUCUUUUAACCUCUUCCCUGUUGCUUUAUGGGGAAUAGUGUCAGGCUUGCUGGCCCCAUCCAUCUUUUCUAGAGACUACUGGUUUUGGUUUCAACUUGCUUGGUGCUGAGUGGCCUGAAUCUGCUUUAGAGCUGGAGAGGGAGCUCCCAGCCUGUCUGGACUCCUUGGGGCAGCCUGGAGACUGUGACCCCCAAAGAAAAUCCAUUCUGUAUGUGGGAUGGGUUUGGAUGGUUGAGGUGAGCCAUGGAGGGCUCUCUCCUAGAGCUGUAGUGUGUGGGUACACACUGAAAGAUUUUAAAACACAGAACUCACAGAUGUUCUAACCUAGAAGAGUCAGGUAACCUCUCUGGAGGCCCAGGCACCUCCCUGCUAUUCAGGCACAGGACAUCUCAGCGGGUUCUUCCAGCUGCAAAUUCUGCUAUUAAAAAAAAAAAAAAAAGAAAAAAAAAAUUAAAAUCCGCUUUACACCUCCCUUAAGGUCCCAGGCUCAUUUUUCUUAUAAAGAUAAUGAAAUGUAAAAAGAAAGCUUCCCCUGUUAGCUCUCUGCCAGCCGUCCCUCCCUUUGCACAGUGCUCAUUAACUCCCCUGACGCUCGAGUCAGACGCGGCCUCUGGUUAAAAACAGCAACCGCCCUCGAGCUGACAGCCAGACAAUAACACCAAUGGGAUCGGCUUCAUCAGGAGGUGUCAGCCCCUCUGUAUUUACAUAACUUGAAUUUUUGGAGUUGGGGGAGUGGGGGGAGGGAAGCAGAUUUAAAAAUAAAUAAUAUUGGAAAAAGAAGUGGAAAGAGGGAAGCUGCUGUUCAGGAGAGGCAGCUGGAGAAGCUGCCUCUCUGCAUGUCCCUGCUGAGGGAUCUUUUGGGCAGGUGGGAAUUUCUGCUCCAGGAUCACAGGCGAUGUGAGUUAUGUUGCUGCAUCAGUGGUUGGACUUGAUCUUGGAGGUCUUUUCCACCCUGUGGUUUUCCCCAGCACAGCCUUUCUCAUCCACUCUGGUACCUGGGGUGAGAGUAUUCAGCAAGAGCGAGGUGUUAAAUUAUUCUGUCAGAAACAAAAGUCUCUGCUGAACAUUGUUUUAAAAUAGCCAGCCUGGGCCACAUGGUUUGAGGAGUUCUAUUAGUCAGAUAAAAACAUUGUCUCCUGGUAUUUAGGCAGAACGGGGGUGUCCAGAAAUGUCUGAACACAAAAGCUGCUCCUGCAAAGCCUUUAAUCUGAUUUUGUUUGGCUGUUGGAACAUCCUGGUGUGAAUCUGAUGUUGGCCCACCUUUGGCUGCUCUAGGACAGCUGCCCAAGGAAGGCAAGCCCAAGCCCAGGCUGGAAGGACUGUUAGGGUGACAAUGCUGAUGCAAUUCCAGCUUGAAAUGGCUGCACACCCAGGGACAGGCUUCCCAGAGGGAAGGGGAGAGAGCCAUCACUCACUGCUUUGGUGUGGGAGGAAUUGUAUCCUAUUUGGGCAUGUGGGAUGAGGCUCCUGAGCUACCUGGAGCAAGCUCCUUCACCUGUGGCUGUCAACAUAGCCCAGUUUGGUGUUACAUGGUUUUGGGGUUCAGUGUUUAAUGCUAUUGUGGUUCCCCUUUCAAGGCCUGGACAUUGGGGUUUUUAUUUUGUUUUUUUUAGUUAUCAUGACUCCAAAAUGUUGCAGAGGAGUGAACAUUUGUGCCAGCAGCAGCUGAGGGUAUCAGCAGCUGUCUGGGGCCAUUAUGCAGAAGUUCAAGUCCUGGCCAGCGUGCUGAGUCCUAACAAUCCCUGGCUGAAAGCACGUCCGAGACAAAAACCUAUUCUUUAUUAGUUUAUGCUUUUUUGAAUGUGGGAGACGCUGUUUGGAAUGAGUGUCUGGGCACAGCAGCGUUGCUGUUCCUGCCUGCUUUUCCAUCACCUCGCUCUCCCUGCCUGUUUGUUUGCUAUUGUGGCUCUAUUAUUUUUUUCUCUCCCCCCCUUGUUUCAUCUCUGGCAUAAGAAGUUAUUCAGCCCCCGAGUGCGCGGGAGCCUAUUGUGCACAGAGAGCUGCAGCACAAAGGAUUCCAGAGACAAUCUUGUUCCCUCUCGUCAGCACAAGCUGCCCAGCCAGAGUCAGAAACACAUCUGCAAGUCUUAAAGGAGUUAUGCUCUGUUUGACUGCAGCUUAAAGCACAGGGAAUAGGGGGGGAGAGGCCUUCCAGGAGCCUGGUGGGUUUUAGCAGCCCACUCGUGGUCCUGUGGCACAGCUGCAGCCCAGCCCAUGCAGAUGUUAGAAUGCCCAUGUUUGAGAUGGAGAUCUACUUUGCAGCUGGUCUGAAGAUAAGCAGUGGACAGAUUCUCCCCUUGAGAACCUCUGGUUUGUGGGAGUGCCCCCCACCCCAGGCAGGGGUGCAAUUUUAGCACCAGAAUGGCUGCCUUGGUGGUGUGUGAAUGCUCUUUAGUCCUGAUGUUCAGCAGGGCUCAAAUGUGGGUGCAGACCUCCUUAACUGCUUUCCUGCAGUGGCAGCUCUGAAUGGCACUGUGCUGUAGGCAUGGAUCUGCUUCCUCAGCAGGAGCUUUGUGUUUUCCAGGGCUCCCAUUGCCCAGAGAAGUGCCUGUGCAGGGACACCAAAGGGUGUGUAGCCAGCCCUGGCACAUGGUGGCUGUCAGGGGCACUGAAGCACAAGAGAUGAGUUCAGGAGACCUGGGUUCUACAUCUCCCAGAGCUGUUCCAGGGCGCUGGAAUACAAAUCUUUCUGUAAAGACCCCAUGGCCAAGGUAAAGUUCCCAUCCUGCAUAAGGUGCCAAAGCCUGUGAGGAGAAGGAAGAACCAGAGAGAAUAAGAACUGGCGAUUCCGUGAGCCGGUGACUGCGGUGACCCGCAUCCCCAGGCAGCUGCCUUUCCGAGAAGCUCACCUCUAUAAAACACUCACUGCUGCUGAGAGAGCAAUUUGUCAGCCCCCUCGAAUGAAGAGUGCAAGAAAAGGGUGCCUUUAAUUAUGCCUGCUUGGGAGAGAGCUGAGAAUUUGCAGCCUUCGGAGCCACCCAAAGGCGCUGCCUGCACCUUGUGAUCUCCUCGGCUGAAUGAACGUGUCAGGGUGGGUGCUUCAAACCCAGCCCCAGUUCCCACACAGCCCUCCAGUGUGCCUGGGUACCUUAGAUCCUUCCUGCUCAGCCUCCCCAUCCCUGUCACAGAAUCCAGGGCCAGGCAGUCAGUUUGCUUGCUGGGAGAAGGAGAGGCAGAUGAGGAGGUGGCUCUUCCUCUUGUCAUGGGGACCCUUUUAUUUUGUUUCGAGAAGAAGGAACUCCUCACAAGUUAGAAGAGGUGGGAAGAGAAAGACAGUUGUAAGCUCAGCUGCAGAUGAGAGGUGCUUUGUUUGUGACUCCUGGGUGCUCUGCACUUGAUGCAUCUCCCACAGAUGCAGGGCAAACUCCUCUCCUCCUCUGGCCUGGCUUGCAAUGAUGGAUUAAGUGGGUCUUCUCCUUCUUGCUGCUCUGAUGUCCAUGUGAUCCAACUGCCUGUACCUCGUGCAGGAGUUUCCUGGAGCAGGAAAUAAGGAGUCCAUGCCCAUGUCCAAGCUUUGGAGACCCAGCCCUCCCUGCUCGUGCAGCUUUCUUGGUGUGUGACCCUGCUUCAUGCCUCUCAGACAUAACAGACACUUGGUAGCAGCGAGUGCUGGCUCGUCUGGAAAUAGAGUGAGAAGUGGUCUGAUGGGAGCAGACCACCUACUCAUCCUCAAAACUGAGCUGCUGCUGGUGGCAACAAGGUGUGUGCAAUCAGACAGUGGGGCUGACCUGUGAUCCUGGCGUUAAUGACUCCCCUUGGCAGACUGCUCUCUCUCAGGGGCUGCCUGUGGUGCUGCAUUAACAUCAGAUCUCUGUGUGAAGAAACAAAGAGGAUGCAGCAGGGACCAAAAUGAAAUUCUCCCCGGAGUUGUCCAGAAGGAUGAAUAAGUGCAAGAAAAUAUAAUUCCAUGGCUCUGGAGAAGGAGUAUCCACUUGUUUAGUAACCUGGCUGCAAGCCCACCAAACCAAAGCGUUGUGCUGACACAGAAAAAAGCAUCGCUCCAUCGAUGCCCAGCCUGAAUUGCUUCUUCCAUUGGACUCGGGGCACACCAACAGCCUCCUCCUGCCACCAGCUCCCACGAGGAGCCAGCUGCACACCUGCAACCAGGCGAGGAGGGAGCAGGAGCUGCCGAGCCACGAGGAAGCCACGAUGGCAGCUUCUGCAGCAUUUCCACCCCGCGGGGCUCUUGGCGAGCGAGUGCUCGUCUGCUUUGAAAGCUCUUAGUGCUCCUGCAGGUGAGAGCCAAUUUGUCUGCUUUCCUGCCCAGGUGCCAUCUGUUUGUAGGAUUGCCUGCGCGGUGGAUGAGCACGGCGGGGAUGGAGAAGGGAAAAAGGGCUGCUGGGGUGGGAGGGAUGAGCCGAAAACUUUCCUUGGGUAUCUCCUGCACUUCUGGCUGCCGUGGUUGCUUCUCCUCUGCGCCGCGGUGGGGAAAUCACAGCCUGUCAUUUGGUGUUCCCGGAGCGUGAUGGGGCGCUGAGGCACCGCUAAUAGCAAACCAUCAUUUUAAUGCUAAUUUCCUACCAUUAGCUCAGGCUGGGGGAGGCUCAGCCUGGGUGGAGGGAAGCCAUUAACAGAUGGAGAAAGGGGGGAUGUGUGGGGAUUUGUUUUGCACCCCCAGAAGGGGCUUCCAAAGGGCAGAUGACUAACUACCACUGGGAAAACUGGUAGGAGGCACUGGGGUCACUCUGUGGUGGAUGUGUGGGAGGGAGGAAGAGCAAUGCUUUCUUCCAAAUCCUCUUCCUGUAGGGAUUUCUUGAGUGCUUCAGGCUUUGGGUUGAAUUUGGUGUUGGCUGCUUGUGGCCAGCCCUCUGCCCUGUGACCCAAGGGAUGCUCAGAGCGCUGGCAGGGCUGCAGCAGUGGUGCCCUGGUGGCAUCGUUGUCCUUCCAACAAAGAAGACAAGCAGGGUUGGGUUUAGCUGCUGUCAUCUUGGGAGGGGCUCCUUAGUGCAGGAGCCUGGACAUCUGUGCUGGGUGAUGGGCUCAGAGCAGGGGAAUUUGAAGCUGUUCAUGAGAUACCCAAGAGCUAAAAAAAAGAAGCCUGCCCUUUCGCCAUGAGAACAAGGCUAGCUGUCCCAAGCUGGAGAGGUGGCAGGAGAAACCAGGGGCUCAGUUUGGUGCAUGAAGGAAACUCAACCAUUUCCCUGCCCUUUCCAGAGGUGGUAGUCCCAAUUCCAGCCUCUUGGCAGUCUCCUCUAGCCACGCUUGCCAAGUGGAGGAGCCUGGGUUGGUGUGGGUGCCUGGAGCUCUGGGGAGUUUGAAGAAGGAUGACUGGCUGCAGGACUGUAAGGCCUGUUUGGGCAGCAGUCAGAGAGGUUCCUCUACCGUUUCUAGACCAGCAUGGAAACAUUGGGACUAGAGGAAUGUGAGCUCAGAUGCUAUGUCUGUCUGGAAAGAAACUGGCCUACUAAUGAGGGACAGCACUGUUUGAAGUCAAGGGCCCAGUGGUGUCCUGUCUGUGGUGUGACACUUCUCCUGAAGACAGACCAGCCUGUGCUGACCUAGACCACCAGAUUCACCAUUUCAUAUGGAAGCCUAUGUAGAUUUCUUAAAAACUCACUUAAGGACUAUUUAAAAACUCUUUUGUCAUCUCGCAGAGAAGCAGGGGAAGGACAAAAGCAGCCACAAUAAACCAGGAGCUGGUUAAAUGACACAGGGAUUGAAAGCCAAGAAGGGACCAUCCUGCCAGGAGGACAAUAGCACAAGGCUGCUUUAGUGGAGCACCAGCUAUCAGAUCCAUCUCGGUGUGGAGCAUGACUCACUGUUUUUAAAGAAGCUAUUUCCAUCUGAGAAAAUGGCUCCUAUAUUUUAUAAAGGCUUUUUCUCCUGGUUGAGGAGAGGAAAGGAAAAGUGAAGGGCUACUUUUUCCUAGUUGAGGAGGAUCAAACUUUCCUUCAAGUAGCUGAGCAAGGAAAUCAGCGCCUUAAGUGCUCCCAAGAACAACACAAUCCAGUAGUUUUGGGGGGAGGAAAGAAGUAAGAAUGAAAUGGCAUUGCUGUUCCCAGUUCAGCACUCUGAAUAAUGAGCCUGCAAGCUGGAGGGAGAGCCCCCUCCCUCCCGAGAGAGGCACCUGACUGCAGGAGAUGGGCACAACAAGUGUCUCACGUGGGCCGGUGUCUGGAGCGGUGUCUCUCUAAUUUUCUACAUCACUGAGAGCACAGCACGGCACCAUCAGUCACUGUCAACCUCCCCUCAGAAAGCCACCUCCUACCUGUGCUGUGGUGUCCCCCUGGGCUCCUGUCUGUGCUGGGGACUGCAGGUGUCCCGGGCAGCAGCACUGUCCCUCCCAGGGGGUUCUCAUUCUCUGUGUUACAGCCUGCUUGGGCUUCUGCCUGGCUCCUUCCUCCACCCUGUGGGAACUCAACACAUCACUCUGAAUGUACAGAGUCGCCAAGAGAACCCUUGGGGGGCUCGGAGAUCCUGGAAUGUUGCCAAAAGUGUCUGGUGGCUUGACUUUGAUCCAUCUAGAGAUGAAACAUCUGUGUAUGAGGAAAUGGAAGGGUUUAGGGUGUGAAUAGUGUGUUUGCAAGGUGAAGUAUAAAUUUUAGAAUUUAGGUACAGGGGGGUCAUGAAGACAAGAUGGAGGAUUCAGGGCAUGGUCCUGGGUUCUUCUUUCUUUUUCAUGUCUUCCAUUUUCUGUGGUGAUGUUGGCACUUUUGGAUUGGUUCAUGGUGAAGGUACACUUGUCAGUAAGGGUGAAAAGUAUUGGGAAUUAAAGGUAAAUAUAUAGUAAUUUUCACCAUAAAAGACACAACCGUCCCGUGGGCGGGGGAGAGUGCACUUGAGUGCCCUGCUGAGCGGACCUUGGCGGGGCAGAGAGAAAAUAUUGUAGAUAAGAAUUAAUAAACAAGAUUGAAGACAGAAAACAUGAGAGUCCAGACUUGUCCUUCACGGUGCAGCCACCCAGAACCACCUUUUCCUGUAUCGGGGCAGAGACAAAUAACAGCGAACCCCAUACCACCCCUGGCACCUGCUCCUUGCCACCACUUCAUUCCCACAUGAAUCUUCCCCUCCUGGAGCCAGAAAAGGCCAAGUGCUCCCUUUAUCCCCACUGAGGAGAAGGUGUGGGGCUGCCUCACUGGGAUAAACUCACUGUGUGCUGCCUGGGGAGGCCUGAGGCUGGGCUUGGUGCUUGUGCUGCUCAUCUGAGGAUGGGGAGGCUGGCCUCUGCAGUUCCCAUGGAGCCAUCAGGACCAGCUUCUUUGCCCCAGCUCUGGGCAUGGAGCAGCUCUCAUGCUGUGCUUGUGAUGCAGUGCAGCAGCUCUUGGUCCCUCAUGUCUCUUUUUGUGAAGCCCCCUGCUCCUUCCUGGCCUGGCUGUGUUUGUACCAGACCCAGGGGCGCUGCUUUGGCAGGAGCAGUGGUGGUGGGUCUUCUCCUGGCCAGGCACACUCCUAGGCUGGAGAGGGACACAGAUCUGUGGCUGUUUCUUCUACUGCAGCACAGACAUGGCUGGUGGGUU